rnacentral:rRNA from 1 species
CGAGAGUUUGAUCAUGGCUCAGAUUGAACGCUGGCGGCAUGCCUUACACAUGCAAGUCGAACGGUAACGGGCCUUCGGGUGCCGACGAGUGGCGAACGGGUGAGUAAUGCAUCGGAACGUACCUUUCAGUGGGGGAUAACGUAGCGAAAGUUACGCUAAUACCGCAUAUUCUGUGAGCAGGAAAGCAGGGGAUCGCAAGACCUUGUGCUGAUUGAGCGGCCGAUGUCAGAUUAGCUAGUUGGUGAGGUAAAGGCUCACCAAGGCGACGAUCUGUAGCGGGUCUGAGAGGAUGAUCCGCCACACUGGAACUGAGACACGGUCCAGACUCCUACGGGAGGCAGCAGUGGGGAAUUUUGGACAAUGGGGGCAACCCUGAUCCAGCCAUGCCGCGUGAGUGAAGAAGGCCUUCGGGUUGUAAAGCUCUUUCGGCCGGGAAGAAAUCGCAUGGGUUAAUACCCUGUGCGGAUGACGGUACCGGCAUAAGAAGCACCGGCUAACUACGUG